CGGACGGGUGAGUAAUGUCUGGGAAACUGCCUGAUGAGGGGGGAUAACUACUGGAAACGGUAGCUAAUACCGCAUAACGUCGCAAGACCAAAGAGGGGGACCUUAGGGCCUCUUGCCAUCGGAUGUGCCCAGAUGGGAUUAGCUAGUAGGUGGGGUAACGGCUCACCUAGGCGACGAUCCCUAGCUGGUCUGAGAGGAUGACCAGCCACACUGGAACUGAGACACGGUCCAG
rnacentral:rRNA from 1 species